UGGGGAAUCUUGCGCAAUGGGCGAAAGCCUGACGCAGCGACGCCGCGUGGGUGAUGAAGGCCUUCGGGUCGUAAAGCCCUGUCGGGAGGGAAGAAUGUUCCUCGACCUAAUACGUCGGGGAAGUGACGGUACCUCCUAAGGAAGCACCGGCUAACUCCGUGCCAGCAGCCGCGGUAAUACGGAGGGUGCAAGCGUUGUUCGGAAUCACUGGGCGUAAAGGGCGUGUAGGCGGCCCGCUAAGUCUGAUGUGAAAUCCCCUCGCUCAACGAGGGAACUGCGUCGGAAACUGCAGGC
rnacentral:rRNA from 1 species